GUCACGGUGGUCUAGUGGUCAGAACGCUGGCCUUGUAAUCCUGGGGUCUCGGGUUCGAUUCCCGGCGGUGCCC
rnacentral:tRNA from 1 species